UUUACUGUGCCUUUUGUACUAGGAUCAGUUACGAAAGUAAGGCCUAACGAUCCCUAAAUAGCCUCAGGUGCGUGAGGAUGGGGGUGACAGACAAGUUACCUCCGGGACAACUGGCUUGUGGCUGCUAAGAGAUCAAAUCAACGCAGCUUUUUGAUUCUUCGAUGUCGGCUCUUCCUAUCCUAGUGAUGUACAAGUUGCUAAGGGUCGGAUUGUUCACCCGUAUUAGGGAUCGUGAGCUGGGUUUAGACCGUCGUGAGCCAGGUUUGUUUUAUCCUACUGGAUAUAGCAUCAUGAUAGUAGAUUGAUUUAGUACGAGAGGAACUGUUGAUUAUGGCCUCUGGUUAGCGAUUAUCGGAAACGGUAUGUCGCGCAGCUACGCCGUCUGGGAUAAUGGCUGAAAGCCUCUUAAGCCAGAAGCCCAUCUAGAAAGUGAUGCACGUGAUGUUGGACCGAUACGAAUAAUCAUACUCAAAAGGUCCGCUUCAUAGGUAACCCAAUGUAGAAGACAUUGUGUGAACGAAGGUACUGUAAGCAGUGGAGUGGCAUUACGUCCACGACCUGUUGAGGUUCAGCUUCGCUUCUAGGUUUCC
rnacentral:ncRNA from 1 species